UGGGGAAUUUUUGACAAUGGGGGAAACCCUGAUCCAGCCAUCCCGCGUGUGCGAUGAAGGCCUUCGGGUUGUAAAGCACUUUUGGCAGGAAAGAAACGUCAUGGGUUAAUACCCCGUGAAACUGACGGUACCUGCAGAAUAAGCACCGGCUAACUACGUGCCAGCAGCCGCGGUAAUACGUAGUGUGCAAGCGUUAAUCGGAAUUACUGGGCGUAAAGCGUGCGCAGGCGGUUCGGAAAGAAAGAUGUGAAAUCCCAGAGCUCAACUUUGGAACUGCAUUUUUAACAACCGGGCUAGAGUGUGGAAGAGGGAGGUGGAAUUCCGGGUGUAGCAGUGAAAUGCGUAGAUAUGCGGAGGAACACCGAUGGCGAAGGCAGCCUCCUGGGAUAACACUGACGCUCAUGCACGAAAGCGUGGGGAGCAAACAGG
rnacentral:rRNA from 1 species